UUUUUUUUUUUUUUUUUUUUUUUUUUUUUUUUUUUUUUUUCCGCUUAGGGUACACCUUGUUGGCGUGACA
rnacentral:ribozyme from 13 species